AUGGACAUGAGGACCCCUGCUCAGCUCCUGGGGCUCCUGCUGCUCUGGCUCCCAGGUGCCAGAUGUGACAUCCAGAUGACCCAGUCUCCAGCCUCCCUGUCUGCAUCUCCAGGAGACACAGUCUCUCUCACUUGCCGGGCCAGUCAGGGGAUCUAUAAUAAUUUAAACUGGUAUCAGCAGAAACCUGGGAAAGCUCCUAAGCUUCUGAUCUAUUACACAUCCAAUUUGGCCUCUGGAGUUCCAUCGCGGUUCAGUGGCAGCGGAUCUGGGACAGAUUAUUCUCUCACCAUCAGCAGCCUGCAGCCUGAAGAUGUUGCCACUUAUUACUGUCAGCAGGAUUAUAGUUCUCCUCCCACAGUGAUACAAGUCAUAACAAAAACCUCCCAGGGAUAA